rnacentral:rRNA from 1 species
AGAGUUUGAUUAUGGCUCAGAACGAACGCUGGUGGCGUGUCUUAUACAUGCAAGUCGAGCGAGGCAGCAAUGCCUAGCGGCGAACGGGUGAGUAACGCGUAAGCAAUCUGCCCCAUAUCAGGAAAUACCCGUGCCAACGCGCGGUUAAUGUCCAGGAGCGUGGCCUUCCGCAUGGGAGGUUGACAAGAGAUUUAUCGGUAUGGGAUGAGCUUGCGUCCGAUUAGCUAGUUGGCGGGGCAACGGCCCACCAAGGCGACGAUCGGUAGCCGGCCUGAGAGGGUGAUCGGCCACAUUGGGACUGAGAUACGGCCCAGACUCCUACGGGAGGCAGCAGUAGGGAAUAUUGCACAAUGGGGGAAACCCUGAUGCAGCAACGCCCACGUGUGGGAAGAAGCAUUUCGGUGUGUAAACCACUGUCGUGAGGGAAUAAGGCGUCUUCUCGGAGACGUUGAAUGUACCUCGAAAGGAAGCACCGGCAAACUUCGUGCCAGCCGCCGC